rnacentral:rRNA from 1 species
AUUGAACGCUGGCGGCAGGCUUAACACAUGCAAGUCGAGCGGAGAUGAGGUGCUUGCACCUUAUCUUAGCGGCGGACGGGUGAGUAAUGCUUAGGAAUCUGCCUAUUAGUGGGGGACAACAUUCCGAAAGGAAUGCUAAUACCGCAUACGUCCUACGGGAGAAAGCAGGGGAUCUUCGGACCUUGCGCUAAUAGAUGAGCCUAAGUCGGAUUAGCUAGUUGGUGGGGUAAAGGCCUACCAAGGCGACGAUCUGUAGCGGGUCUGAGAGGAUGAUCCGCCACACUGGGACGGAGAAACGGCCCAGAAUCCUACGGGAGGCAGCAGUGGGGAAUAUUGGACAAUGGGGGGAACCCUGAUCCAGCCAUGCCGCGUGUGUGAAGAAGGCCUUAUGGUUGUAAAGCACUUUAAGCGAGGAGGAGGCUACUGAGACUAAUACUCUUGGAUAGUGGACGUUACUCGCAGAAUAAGCACCGGCUAACUCUGUGCCAGCCGCCGCAGUAA